CCACACGGUAAACGAUGGAUGCUCGCUGUAGGCCUUUUUUGGUCUGUGGCUUAGGGAAACCGUUAAGCAUCCCACCUGGGGAGUACGCCGGCAACGGUGAAACUCAAAGGAAUUGACGGGGGCCCGCACAAGCGGAGGAACAUGUGGUUUAAUUCGAUGAUACGCGAGGAACCUUACCCGGGCUUGAACUGCAGGAGAACGAUUCAGAGAUGAUGAGGCCCUUCGGGGCUCCUGUGGAGGUGCUGCAUGGUUGU
rnacentral:rRNA from 1 species